GUGCCAGCCGCCGCGGUAAUACCGGCAGCUCAAGUGGUCGUCGCUUUUAUUGGGCCUAAAACGUCCGUAGCCUGUUUGGUAAAUCUGUGGGUAAAUCAACCAGCUUAACUGGUUGAAUUCUGCAGAGACUGCCAGACUAGGGACCGGGAGAGGUGUGGGGUACUCUAGGGGUAGGGGUAAAAUCCUGUCAUCCUUAGAGGACCACCAGUUGCGAAGGCGCCACACUGGAACGGAUCCGACGGUCAGGGACGAAGCCUAGGGGCACGAACCGGAUUAGAUACCCGGGUAGUCCUAGGUGUAAACGCUGUGAACUUGGUGUCGGGAGUCCGCAAUGGGCCCCCGGUGCCGGAGUGAAGAUGUUAAGUUCACUGCCUGGGGAGUACGGUCGCAAGGCUGAAACUUAAAGGAAUUGGCGGGGGAGCACUGCAACGGGAGGAGCGUGCGGUUUAAUUGGAUUCAACGCCGGAAAACUCACCAGGGCCGACUGUUAUAUGAAGACCAGCGUAAUGAGCUUGUCGGAUUUUCAGGGAGGUGGUGCAUGGCCGUCGUCAGUUCGUACUGUAAAGCGUUCUGUUAAGUCAGAUAACGAACGAGACCCUCAUCUCUAUUUGCUACCCGUCUCUCCGGAGGCGGCGCACUAUAGGGAGACCGCUGGUGUUAAACCAGAGGAAGGGGAGGGCAACGGUAGGUCAGUAUGCUCCGAAUGCUAUGGGCUACACGCGCAAUACAAAGGACGGGACAAUGGGCUGCUGCUCCGAAAGGAACGAUAGCUAUCCCGAAACCCGUUCGUAGUUCGGAUUGAGGGCUGUAACUCGCCCUCAUGAAGCUGGAUUAGGUAGUAAUCGCGCCUCAAAAAGGCGCGGUGAAUAUGCCCCUGCUCCUU
rnacentral:rRNA from 1 species